AAGCUCCAAGCCCUUGAGUAAGGCAGCUCAGCCUUAGUGCCUGUAUGCCCGAGGCUGCUCCAGAGCCGUGCAUGUGCCCCUGGGGAUGCUGUGGGGUGGGCUGGGUUUUGUCUGCCUGUCUUCUUCCCGAGAUUGUCAAGGGAGAUGAGAGUGGGCAGCACAGUGUCGUUUCCGUCCUCAGUGCUGAUGUGAUUUUCUCAAAUGGACCUUGUUCCCACAGCUCUAUGACAACACCAAACAGCACAGCGAGGCUGGUCAUGCGGAGCUGACUUACUGCAUCAUGCUGCAGGGUAAGGAGAGGAGCUUUGGCAAUGCUUGCCCUGGCCAAAACCUCUCUCACAAACUUCAGGAAUGGGCAUGAGUUGCCUGCUAACACAGUGUGGGGUUUCCUCCCUGCAGCCCGAAUCUGCCCAGAGGAAACGAUCCUGUUUCUGCAAUCACAGCUGGGCGAUGACUGGGAGGCUGGAUGCGUGGCAUCCCUGGGUCUGCUUGGUGCUCUAGCUCGCUCCGAUGAGCCCAUGAUGACAGAGAAGCUGCCCCAGGUUGUUGAGGCUGUGCAGCGUUUGUGCAGCGACCCCAGGACCCGGGUGAGACAGGCUGUUCUGCAUUUCAUUAAUGAUCUGCUGAAUGCUAAUGCCUGGAGCUGCUCAGCUUGGGAUGUGGUGGGGCACAUUUUCAGUGAGUUCAGCCGUACCACAGAAAGAAGGGCAACCGGAAAGCUUUCUGCCCAGGAAGCCCAGGAAGAAGGAGCUCUCCAGGCACUAUGCAUGGACAUCCUGGUGUCACUGGGCGCCUCUGUGAGAGGAAUGUCCAAAGUAAGUCACACUCUGCCCUACUACUGUUCCUUGCCUUCACACCACACGUUCCUCGUCCUAUUCCACCACCCCA
rnacentral:lncRNA from 1 species